UACAGAGGUCUCAAGCGUUGUUCGGAUUCAUUGGGCGUAAAGGGUGCGUAGGCGGCGCGGUAAGUCGGGUGUGAAAUCUCGGAGCUUAACUCCGAAACUGCAUUCGAUACUGCCGUGCUUGAGGACUGGAGAGGAGACUGGAAUUUACGGUGUAGCGGUGAAAUGCGUAGAUAUCGUAAGGAAGACCAGUGGCGAAGGCGAGUUCCUGGACAGUUGCUGACACUGAGGCACGAAGGCUAGGGGAGCAAACGGG
rnacentral:rRNA from 1 species